GGACAGGUGUCCGAGUGGUUUAAGGAGGUAGUCUUGAAAACUACUGAUGCCGCAAGGUAUCCGGGGGUUCGAAUCCCUCCCUGUCCG
rnacentral:tRNA from 1 species